UGCUUCUGAUAAAAUUCAUUCAGUUAUCGUGGUGGCCGGCGCCGAGCUGAAAUCGUUAUCGUUGCUUCAUUGUGAAAAUGCACUUUGUCGUCUCGAUCGAUUGUAAUUCUCGGUUACGAUUGCGAUAAAGUGAAAGUUACGAAGUACAAAACGAUGCACGAGAGUCGAUGAUCGAAGGUCCAAUUCGAUAAGGAACUCGAGAAAAAAAAUGGCGCGCGCGAGUGUCCAACGAUUGUUAGUAGUUUCGGUGUCGAGUCGAAGUUCGAUUAAAAGAUUUACUCUAGAUCGUCGUCCAGUGAUUAUUAUCGUCGAAGAUGGUUAAUGUAUCGAGUAAAGAUGCUUUACGCAGUCCGACGAGUAACGUAGCUGCAAUCGGUGAGAUUAGAGGCGAGUUAAAGUAUAAAUAUGUUUUCGAGAGAAAGAAGGUUAAGAGAUACGAAAUGAUCUUAAACUAAUUUAGUCAGAGAGAUGAAGAUACGAAUGUUUGAAGAAUAACGGAAGAAAAAUUUGAUACGUUCGAAAAUCGAUAAUUUAAAAGUGAAUUGUUUUUUCAAUACAUUACAUCAUCAUGUUGUUCUCUUACGCAAUUCGUAAAAUUGUAUAGGUUAGAAAGUAUACAUAACGCUAGAACAAUUCAAACUCCUCAAAAAUGAAAGAUUUCGUAUUUUUUUCCCUUACGAUUAUUAAAAGCAUGAGAAUGUGUUUGACAAAAUUAAUAUUAUAGCUACGUAUUUUCAUGAUAUCACUUUAAUUACAAUUAAAAUAUUUGAAUACAGUUUUUACAUUACUGUACAUUAUGCAAAAUUGUAUAAAUAUCAUUACAAUAUUAAAUGAAUUAUUCAUCGGGGACAUUAUCUAAUAUCUUCUGAAGAACAUAAUGAUAGCUGUGAGAAAAAUGAUGGAAAGUGCCAGAUCGCUAAAAUCUUAUCGACAAAAGCUAUUUAACGAGCUUAAGCAAUUCAUACGAUUGCUACACGCCAUUUUCGCUUAUAUAUUCGAAGAUUCAAGAACUUGAAUCUUUUGCGUCCUGCAUUCUAUCCUGGAUUUUUAAAUUAUUGCUAUCUCUUCUCCAUACAUUCGUCCAAACACAGAAAAUCGAGUCAAUAGCGGUGGUAAUAUUCUUUACACAUCAGUUUAUAUAAUAUCUUCCAAUUUUUACAUCGCAUCAAAACGCCGACGCGUUUAGCAUCUAUUUCACACUUUAUAACUUGGAAUUCCCGUGCGUAUACGUGUUUAUGAAUUUUCAUAAUGCAAAAACUAUGGAGAUGUUCAAAUUUUUUCUUUUUUUUUCCUUUUUACGAGAACACAGUUUCGCAUCCGAGGAAAUAUUUCAAAAUGUCAGGGAAGGAGGAAACCUCAGAGCAUGUAUUCGUUAACGCGGUAUAGGUUAUAAAAUUUCGUUAUUCGUAAAUGAUGGAAAGGACACGGGAUUCGUCGUGUUAAAACUUGGAAGAUUUAUCGAUUAUUGGCAGUAAUGCGGAAAAAUUAUGGUAAAAUGUGACGAUCGUGUCGAAACUUUCGUUGCAACCAUACAUUGCAAAAUCGUUGUGCAAACAUUGUUUUUUUUUUUUUUUCAUUUUUUAAAAAUGUCAAAAUUAUAUAUUUUUGACAAAUUCGAUGCCACUCUCUAGUCAGUGAAAUAAUCAAUGAAAGUUUCAAGAAAGUUCAACUUGAGAUGCAUUAAAUUAUACUUAUUACAUAUUUAUUAUAAAAAUUACCUAUAUCGACGUUUUGAAGUGAAACUUUUAAGAAAGAUUUACCGAGAGACGAUAAGUGAUAAAUCAAUUGCCAUUCCAAGUUUCAUUGAUUCUUUUAUAUAGUUUAUCCAAUCAUAGCCCAGACAUAGUUUUCGCGCAGUGUGCUCAACAAAUUGCCUACCCCGUAUAAGCUUUGCCUUAACGAUACUGUUUGCAUUAAACUAUUCGCCUACGAAAAACUGUUUUUCUUUCAAUAUCUCUGUAUUAAAUGUAAACAGUAGAUAAGAGAUGUAACCCGUGUAUCAAGAAAUAAUGUAUAUAUAUAUAUACCAAUAUAUUAUUCAAUUACCAAGUUGGUUUCAGUUUCAACGCUAGAAAAUUCUCUCGUGUCUCUCGUGAAAAAUAGAUAGAAAAAUGCGAGGAAGACUAGAGGUAAUAUUUCUUGAAAUGGCACACUGACUUCUUCGCAGAAGAAAAAAUUUAUUACGCAGUCGUGAAAGUCAAAAGUGAACCAGUUUACAAUUAGCUAUCUCU